rnacentral:rRNA from 1 species
AUACGGAGGAUCCGAGCGUUAUCCGGAUUUAUUGGGUUUAAAGGGUGCGCAGGCGGCCAUUUAAGUCAGCGGUUAAAUCGUGGGGCUCAACCCCAUUCUGCCGUUGAUACUGGGUGGCUUGAUUGCGGUCGAGGUUGGCGGAAUUCGUUGUGUAGCGGUGAAAUGCAUAGAUAUGACGAAGAACGCCGAUUGCGUAGGCAGCUGACCAGAUCGCAAAUGACGCUCAUGCACGAAAGUGCGGGGAUCGAACAGGAUUAGAUACCCUGGUAGUCCGCACAGUAAACGAUGAAUACUUGUUUUCGGCGAUAUAAUGUCGGAGGCAAAGCGAAAGCGAUAAGUAUUCCACCUGGGGAGUACGCCGGCAACGGUGAAACUCAAAGGAAUUGGCGGGG